UCCUUGGUAGUCCAGUGGCUGAGACUCUGUGCUUCCAAAGCAGGGGACCCAGGUUCGAUCCUUGGUCAGGGAA
rfam:TPA: Bos taurus chromosome 8, whole genome shotgun sequence.